ensembl:miRNA mir19a microRNA mir-19a
AUGCACAGACUGUCAGUUCUCUGUUAGUUUUGCAUAGUUGCACUGCAAGAAGAGAUGCGUUGUGCAAAUCUAUGCAAAGCUGAUAGUGGCCUGUGUUUUCAUCUGAAU